UGCUUAUUGCAAAAGAAUAUUACAUCACCACAGAUUAUUCUUAUUAGAUGUACACAUUGAUUUAUGAGAUUUUUAAGACAGCAAUAAUAAGCAAACUGGGCGCUGCCAUGGCACCGUGCGACUUGUGCUGCCCCCUGGCAAAGUUACGCUUUAGAAUUUUUAGAUUUGUGCAGAGCACAAAAAGAGGGCGCUGUCGACAGACCCACGUAGUAGCGCGACCGCCAGGAGGAGCCAAUACAUAAUAAUGCGACGAACUGGUGGCGGAUCGGAAAACAAAACAAAAUAGAACCAAACUCGACCGGCAGAGAGAGUGCUAGAGCAGCUGGGAAAACUUUACGUGGGGCUGGUGUUGAAUGACAUCCACCACUACACUCACGUUCUCACUGGUAAGCAGGAGUAGAGAGGAAGGGAGGGAGCGCGGGAGGGAAGAAGGGAGGGAGGGAGAGAGAGAGAGAGAGAGACAGAGGAAGAGGGAGAGGAGGGGGAGAACUGUUAGACGGGCUGGUGUUGAAUGACAUCCACCACUACACUCACGUUCUCACUGGUAAGCAGGAGUAGAGAGGAAGG